rnacentral:tRNA from 1 species
GCACGCGUAGCCCAACUGGCAAAGGCGGCCGGCUCAAACCCGACCCAGUGGAGGUUCAAAUCCUCCCGCGUGCACCA